rnacentral:tRNA from 1 species
GGGCAUUUGGCGCAGUGGUUAGCGCGUUCGCUUCACAUGCGAGAGGUCAGAGGUUCAAAUCCUCUAAUGCCCA